GACGUAGGGGGCGAGCGUUGUCCGGAAUUACUGGGCGUAAAGGGCGUGUAGGCGGCUUUUAAAGUCAGCUGUGAAACUCCUCAGCUUAACUGAGGGCUGGCAGUUGAAACUUAAAAGCUUGAGUGCAGGAGAGGAAGGUGGAAUUCCCAGUGUAGCGGUGAAAUGCGUAGAUAUUGGGAGGAACACCGGUGGCGAAGGCGGCCUUCUGGCCUGUAACUGACGCUGAGGCGCGAAAGCCAGGGGAGCAAACAGG
rnacentral:rRNA from 1 species